rnacentral:rRNA from 1 species
GAUGAACGCUGGCGGCGUGCUUAACACAUGCAAGUCGAACGGGAAACCUUUUAUUGAAGCUUCGGCAGAUUUAGCUGGUUUCUAGUGGCGGACGGGUGAGUAACGCGUGGGUAACCUGCCCCAUACAGGGGGAUAACAACCAGAAAUGGUUGCUAAUACCGCAUAAGCGCACAGGGCCGCAUGGUCCGGUGUGAAAAACUCCGGUGGUAUAGGAUGGACCCGCGUUGGAUUAGCCAGUUGGCAGGGUAACGGCCUACCAAAGCAACGAUCCAUAGCCGGCCUGAGAGGGUGAACGGCCACAUUGGGACUGAGACACGGCCCAGACUCCUACGGGAGGCAGCAGUGGGGAAUAUUGCACAAUGGGGGAAACCCUGAUGCAGCGACGCCGCGUGAAGGAAGAAGUAUCUCGGUAUGUAAACUUCUAUCAGCAGGGAAGAUAGUGACGGUACCUGACUAAGAAGCCCCGGCUAACUACGUG